UACGUAGGUGACAAGCGUUGUCCGGAUUUACUGGGCGUAAAGAGCGCGCAGGCGGUCGAUCAAGUCGAGUGUGAAAGCCCCCGGCUCAACUGGGGAGGGUCACUCGAUACUGAUCGACUCGAAGGUAGAAGAGGGAAGCGGAAUUCCCGGUGUAGUGGUGAAAUGCGUAGAUAUCGGGAGGAACACCAGUGGCGAAGGCGGCUUUCUGGUCUGCUCUUGACGCUGAGGCGCGAAAGCUAGGGUAGCAAACGGG
rnacentral:rRNA from 1 species